UACGAACCGUGCGAACGUUAUUCGGAAUCACUGGGCUUAAAGCGCGUGUAGGCGGGCCGGCACGUCGGUCGCUGAAAGCCCCCGGCUCAACCGGGGAACGGGCGCCGAUACGACCGGCCUGGAGGGACGUAGGGGGACCUGGAACUUCCGGUGGAGCGGUGAAAUGCGUUGAGAUCGGAAGGAACGCCCGUGGCGAAAGCGAGGUCCUGGACGUUUUCUGACGCUGAGACGCGAAAGCCAGGGGAGCGAACGGG
rnacentral:rRNA from 1 species